CAGAAGCAUACGACUCUGGCGUUUUUUUUUAAACAAGGGAGAAACUUCGCUUAACAACAAUGAUUUUUUACUUGUUAUUGGUCUUAUUUCUGGCGUUUAACUGUGAAAUUAAAUUCACGAUGGGUCAAAUGUUCUUACGAAUUUGGCAUAUGGAAAAUCCGCUAUUCAUAGCACGUACGGAGGUACCCCAGAAAAUGCUGUCAAAGGUGUCUUUACUGACUUCACCCACACAGCCCUUGAAAAAAAUCCAUGGAUAAGAAUUGAUCUUGGGAGAAACUACACGGUUCAUGAAGUAGAGGCAUUCGGUAGGAGAAACUGUUGCUUUGGACGACUUCAUGACGUUGAUAUAAGGGUUGGCAAUGAUCUGCACGACAUGCAUCUAUGUGGCCAUUUUGCUGGUUCUUGUACCAGAUGCGGGGAGCGGAUAGCUGUGUUUUGUCCUUUCAAUACAUAUGGUCGAUAUGUAAAGAUACAGAUUAUGGAGGGAUGGAACAACUACCUGUCUGUUGCUGAAGUUCUUGUUUGGGGACGUUUGUAGUUGUAAUCUAACGACGGAAUCGAUAAAAGAGGAAUUUUGCAUGCACUGCUAAUGUUUUUGAAUAUCAUUGUCUAAAAGAUUAUCGAUAGUAUUUAAUACUUUCUUUUCCAAAUCAUAAGGCUCUUCUCAUUAGAAAAAAUUCAUUUUACCAAAAUACGAAACUUAAGCCAUUUGCAAAUUUUAUUCUUCUCUCAGAAUCUUUCUUGAAAAGUCUUUCAUAAUUGUGUUAACUCUGAAACUUGAUUAAAUAUUUUUUUCCACGAUAUUCUUGUUGAAAAUGGCCUGUGGUGUAUACAAUGUACUAUGUGUGCCAAUUUGAUGAUCUGUAAAUUAUAUUACUUUAAUUUUGGAAACAUCAGAGAUAUCUUCAGGAAAUUCUUUUUUAUCUUACUCUGUUUAAACGUUAAAGUAUUAGAUAAAAUGUCUUUAGAUAAAAUAUGCGGUAAAAAUAUUCAAAUAUUCAUUCAGAUUCCUGUAGUAUGGAUAUUUUAACUAAGUAAGUCUUGUAAUGAGAAAUAAAUAAUUAUUGACAGUAGCUUGAUGUACAACUGUACACACAGUGUAUCAUCACGAUAUAAGAGAGGAUAAAGCACAUAAAUUUCAACUUUU